rnacentral:lncRNA from 1 species
UAUACCGGUAACCAUGUUAGGACGUGGUGACCAACGUGAUUGACAAGUAACCUAAACCUACCGAGCAACCCAAGGUGAGUUCACAACUUAAAAUUAUAUGUUAAUGCGAUUCAAUGCAUGCGUCCCGGUGGUUUGGGACAACUGGUAAACAUUUGGAAGGGAAACAUUGGGUAAAUAACUUAAUCGGUUUUGGUUAUUGCCUGGAGGGCAAUGGGGGUGAUUAG